UCACCUUUUCAUUCUGUCGCCUCACCAAGACUAAACAGCGACAUUAAAUAACAGUCUUUCAUACCUCUGCUUAGGGUGCAGAGGAAUAGUAACUCCA
rfam:Synechococcus phage S-SSM5, complete genome.